UCAGUCGGCCGGGCAGCCGCGCUAGUUCAAUACCGAAAGGUGGCUAGUGAGGAAAGUCCGGGCUCCAGCGAGACACGGUGCCGGGUAACGCCCGGCGAGGGUGACCUUAGGGAAAGUGCCACAGAAAGCAAACCGCCUAUAUUAUAUAGGUAAGGGUGAAAGGGUGAGGUAAGAGCUCACCGCAUUGUCAGUAAUGAUAAUGGCAAGGUAAACCCCACCGGGAGCAAGACCGAAUAGGGAUGAUGCGUGGUUUAACCACAGGCCUGUCUCCAGCCAAUCAUCCGGGUGGGUUGCAUGAGGCGCAUGGCAACAUUGCGUCCAAGAUGAAUGGCUGCCACGUGAAGCGUUAAGCUUUGCCAUACAAAACCCGGCUUACAGGCCGACUGACUUU
rnacentral:RNase_P_RNA from 2 species